UUGGAGUCCGAUUUAGCCAUGCUAGUCGUACGAGUUCAUACUCGUGGCGAAUAGCUCAGUAACACGUGGCCAAUCUCCCCUUCAGCGGCGGAUACCCUCGGGAAACUGAGGCUAAUCCGCCAUACCCCUCUCACGCUGGACUGCCGAGAGGUCAAAACGCUUUCCAGCGCUGAAGGAUGAGGCUGCGGCCGAUUAGGUAGACGGUGGGGUAACGGCCCACCGUGCCCAUAAUCGGUACGGGUCGUGAGAGCGAGAGCCCGGAGACGGAAUCUGAGACAAGAUUCCGGGCCCUACGGGGCGCAGCAGGCGCGAAACCUUUACACUGCACGCCAGUGCGAUAAGGGGACUCCAAGUGCGAGGGCAUAUCGUCCUCGCUAUCCUGUACUGUAGGGUAGUACAGUAUCAAGAGCUGGGCAAGACCGGUGCCAGCCGCCGCGGUAAUACCGGCAGCUCAAGUGAUGGCCACUCUUAUUGGGCCUAAAGCGUCCGUAGCU
rnacentral:rRNA from 1 species